rnacentral:ncRNA from 2 species
GAAACGCACCAGGGGUGUCUGCAUCUGCUUUUGCACUGGCAAUUUGGCCAAGGAUGCAAGCAGAUCAGGCUGAGAAAGUCCCUUCGAACCUGAACAGGAUAAUGCCUGCGUAGGGAGUGUGCUUUUCUUUUCCC